UGGGGAAUAUUGCACAAUGGGCGCAAGCCUGAUGCAGCGACGCCGCGUGGGGGAUGACGGCCUUCGGGUUGUAAACUCCUUUCGCCAGGGACGAAGCGUUUUGUGACGGUACCUGGAGAAGAAGCACCGGCUAACUACGUGCCAGCAGCCGCGGUAAUACGUAGGGUGCAAGCGUUGUCCGGAAUUACUGGGCGUAAAGAGCUCGUAGGUGGUUUGUCACGUCGUCUGUGAAAUUCCACAGCUUAACUGUGGGCGUGCAGGCGAUACGGGCUGACUUGAGUACUGUAGGGGUAACUGGAAUUCCUGGUGUAGCGGUGAAAUGCGCAGAUAUCAGGAGGAACACCGAUGGCGAAGGCAGGUUACUGGGCAGUUACUGACGCUGAGGAGCGAAAGCAUGGGUAGCAAACAGGAUUAGAUACCCUGGUAGUCCAUGCCGUAAACGGCGGGCGCUAGGUGUAGGGGCCUUUUGGGGUUUCUGUGCCGUAGCUAACGCAUUAAGCGCCCCGCCUGGGGAGUACGGCCGCAAGGCUA
rnacentral:rRNA from 1 species